GACGAACGCUGGCGGCGUGCUUAACACAUGCAAGUCGAACGAUGAAGCGGGUGCUUGCACUCGUGGAUUAGUGGCGAACGGGCGAGUAACACGUGAGUAACCUGUCCUUUUCUUUGGGAUAACGGCUGGAAACGGCUGCUAAUACUGGAUAUUCAGGCUGCAUCGCAUGGUGUGGUUUGGAAAGGUUUUUUCUGGGAUUGGGUGGGCUCGCGGCCUAUCAGCUUGUUGGUGGGGUGAUGGCUUACCAAGGCUUUGACGGGUAGCCGGCCUGAGAGGGUGGUCGGUCGCACUGGGACUGAGAUACGGCCCAGACUCCUACGGGAGGCAGCAGUGGGGAAUAUUGCACAAUGGACGAAAGUUUGAUGCAGCGACGCCGCGGGGAGGGUGUAGGCCUUCGGGUUGUGAACUCCUUUUUCUCGCGAAAAAGGCACAGUUUUGGCUGUGUUGAUGGUAGUGGGGGAAGAAGCGCCGGCUAACUACGUG
rnacentral:rRNA from 1 species